AAUCUGCAUUCUAGGAAAGGGGAGCUGGGGUUUAAGACUUGUGAUAAAGCCACAAGAGCUGGCAAUACUGCUCCAGACUCCUCCUAAGGACAGCAUGGUGAACAGCUUUCAGCACGGUGGAGAAGAUGGCUUGAGCUGAGAAAAGA